UCUUAAAUUUAAGUAGUACAAAAUUUGAAGCAUGAAUUACAAAUGUUUUAUGCAUUUUUAUCCCUUAAAUGUCUCAUAUAGAGGAACAACAUCCGUCAAACUUAUCUGCAAAUGAAUCAGUCAAAGCUAAAACUAUAUUCCCACAUUUAUAGUCAGUUGAAUUAGUCAAUAAGAAAUACAAUUUAUAAGGCAUUCUUCUCUCAAUCUCGGUUAUCUUCAUCAAACCUACCGAUUACACCCAAUAAACUCCCAAAUCAUUUCUCAAAGCUAUCAAAUCUCAAUGCUUGCUUCUCCGCUACUCCCACUGUCCCUCCUUCAUUACCACUAUCAACCAUCCACCGGCAUAUGUGUCAUCACCGGAAUCAUACCGUGCCGCCUUCAAACACUUUCCAGCAUGUCUGAUUAUGUAGAGUAUCUGUAAGAAAUUCAAGGUUGUGGGAAUGAGAAUUUUGAAAUCCCUUCUCUCCGCCCCUAUAUCGGCUCCCUUCCCCUAUAUAUCCCCUCAUAUUCUCUGUAAUUGUGAACACGAAAGGUUUUUGGGAUUCUAACCACAUGAUUUCUGGAUAUAAGUUUUCAUCCUCAAAGAAAUUAUUUUGAAAAAAACCCAAGUUUGAUCUUGGGAAAUUGGCUGUGGUAAACGACUUUCUUUUUAUCUUUUUCCUUUUUGUUGGUUUUCUAGGUAUGAUAAAGAGAAGAUAUCGGUCAGUCAUCCACAUUGAUUAUUUAUACUCUUAUGUGGCUGUCAAUCAAGGAAAUUACAUAUAAAGUGUUUGUAGAAAUGCUUGCGAGAGAACAUAACAAGAGGCGAGUAUGAGCUCUACAAAAUCUUUCUAUAUGCUCUUUUUUUUUAAGAAUUUUUUUCCUUAUUGCUUCUAUAGUUCUUAUUAUAUGGUCUUACCAAUUUUAAGACACUACAUAUGUCUCUAGAAACAUUCUUGCUUUAGAGUGUUUUUCAAGCAUGUGAUUUGAACUAGGAACAUAUAAUGAGCUGUAAACUUUUUAUUUAUGGUUUCUUUAAGUUUGUAUCUUACUAUUGAAGCAUUAUUUUGGGUGCAAUAGUCACACUUUACAAACUACAAAAUACAUGAAGGGAAAAUGACUUAAAAGCCCAACGAAGUUUCCAAACCAUUCAAAAAACUCCAAUCUUGUUUUGAUUGUUUGAAAAAACCUAACGAACUUAACAUUUUGUCUAAAAAGUCCAACAAAGUUCCAAACCGUACAAAAAAUCCCAAUUUUGUUUUGUUUAAGUUCGUUGGGUUUUUUUUGAACAGUCAAAACAUGAUUGUAUUUUUUUAAACGUUUUGGAAACUUCGUUGGCCUAACAAGUCACUUUUCCAAUACGGUAAUAAGUCACGUCAUCUGUUUCUCUUAUUUGACUUUCAGGAAAGUGUAACUUCGUUGGGCUUUUUAGACAAAAUGUUAAGUUUGUUGGGUUUUUUUGAACAGACAAAACAUGAUUGGGGUUUCUUGAACGGUUUGAAAACUUCAUUGGGCUUUUAAGUCAUUUUCCCAUACAUGAAUUAUUUAGCUUUUCACUUUAGUUUUUUAAAAAGAAAUCAAAAAACUUCUUCAGAUGGAUGCUCUUGAUGAAAUGAGGUAAAUUUUGGUUUAUAUUUUCUUGAUGCACUAUUUUUUUAUAUAGUUUAUAAUCUUGGUCUAACAAAGUUUCAAUUCCCUAGGAUAAUUGACCGAAUGGAGCUCUAGGCAUGGUGACCCAUGUGGAGAGAUCUAGAAAUGAGUUUACCUGUUUAGGUUCAAGAGUCACAAAGAUUUACGUUGCAUUCCUCUUGGAUAUUGGAAUGUUUCAAAUCUUUUAACAUGUUCUUUUUUUGGUUCUUCCAGCAGCUUAUUUUGCCACAGGGUACGAGAUCAUAUGUUGAUCCUUCUUCCUCUGCAGUCAAGCUCCUUCUACUUGAGCUUCUUUUUGCUGAUAGUCUUCUUAGUUUACCUACAUCGAUGAGGAUAGAUCAUAUUGUAUUUUUCUGAAGAUAUGAGUACAUAGAUUAGUUAUACAAAGGGUCGGAAGAGAAUGGUUCGUUUCACAGGUAUGGGAAUGGAAAAACUCCAUGAAUGACCAGAAAGGAAAGCACAUAAGAUCUUGGAACUUUGUUGUGUUUUUUCUUAAUUUGAGAAUUAAUUUGAGGUUAUUCCGUAGGUUUUAAAUUUGUAAAGGAUAGUUUGGUCAUUAUUGCAAAAUACACGAAUUUGGGUCUGUAUAAAUUCAGGAUUAUGUUGAA